GUAAUUAUUCAAUUUAUUCAGACGCUGAUUCAAAAUAAAAUAGGUUAAUGGGGUGUCCUAUUGGCGGGCAAGCCCACCAAGGAAACAUAGGUGCUCGAUAAACAAGGGUAAUAGACAUGAGCCUUUGGGCGUGUAUUGCUACAGCUUCGGGCCUGUACUAUCAUGUAAUGAUCCUUCCGCAGGUUCACCUACGGAAA
rnacentral:misc_RNA from 1 species